GCAAAAGCUUCUCCGUUUCCAGACUUGGAAGCAGCAGCCGAUUCAUCUUCCCUCAGGCUGGAGGAGAUAUCAAGCUGCAGCAGUGGCAGAAACAGCAUCCUAACACCCCACUUCCAGCAGGGCUUCCAUCUCCUCUGUCAGCUGUCAGCUCAAAAUGUCUCCUGCCUGUCAGACCAGAGCUUUUAACUCAGUCCGUGUCUGUCUGCACAACUACUAUCACGCUUUUUUCCAAAAGCAGGUUGACUCUUCGGCCUGUGCCUGCUUGAAGGCUUGGCAUGGGUUUGCUUCAAGCUUGCCACAGAGGCUUGUUGAGACCAAUGGACAAUCUAAUGAGACCCCGCAGGCACCACUGAUAUGCCCCGUGGCCUUGUUAGAAAGCCAAGAUGGAGAGAGUUGAAGAGGGACAGAAAAGCUAAGAAGCUGAACUGCUGAACAAGAUGUCCCCUACUUCACUGUAAAGUCCAUUCCCAGUGUAUGUGCACUGGAGGCUUCAAGUUUCCACAUCACACUUGU